rnacentral:rRNA from 1 species
UACGUAGGGGGCGAGCGUUGUCCGGAGUUACUGGGCGUAAAGGGCAUGCAGGCGGUCGGACGCGUUUCGGGUGACAGCGGGUGGCUUAACUACCCGAGUGGUCGAAAGACGGUUUGACUUGAGGACGCGAGAGGGACACGGAAUUCCGGGUGGAGUGGUGAAAUGCGUAGAGAUCCGGAGGAACACCGAAGGCGAAGGCAGGGUCCUGGCGCGUAACUGACGCUGAGGUGCGAAAGCCAGGGGAGCGAACGGG